UAUAAAAUUGUUCCGGCUCUGUAACAUUCGCCGGAGAGUAAGUCUCAUUCGUCAAGAAAGCAACUUUACAGUUUCCUCCUUGAGUUGUGUUACCACCGGAGCUUUCAAGGUCAACGCCGAUUACUUGCGGUCUAUCCGCCGGAAUCUUCGCCUGACAACAUGUGUAACCACCGCAGAUCUUGUCUAAA